rnacentral:rRNA from 1 species
GCCCAGCCGUAAACUUUUAAUUACACCAUCAUCGCCGGGGAACUACGAGCUAAGCUUAAAACCCAAAGGACUUGACGGUACCCCACAUCCACCUAGAGGAGCCUGUCCUAUAAUCGAUAACCCCCGCUUAACCUCACCAUUUUUAGCCCGUCAGCCUGUAUACCUCCGUCGUCAGCUUACCACGUGAGCGUCAACUAGUGAGCUUAAUGUCAUUACACCAACACGUCAGGUCAAGGUGCAGCACAUAAAAUGGGAAGAGAUGGGCUACACUAUCUAAUCUAGAUUAAACGAAAGACUAUUUAUGAAACCUAGUCAGAAGGCGGAUUUAGAAGUAAAGGAAAAUCAAAGUGUUUUCUUUAACUUGGCACUGGGGUGUGUACACACCGCCCGUCACCCUCUUCAAAGCUUUAAUUAAGUCUUUAACACAAUUAAGCGCCACAGAAGAGGCAAGUCGUAACACGGUAAGUAUACCGGAAGGUGUGCUUGGAAAC